rnacentral:rRNA from 1 species
GCCUACGGGACGCAGCAGUCGAGAAUCAUUCACAAUGGGGGAAACCCUGAUGGUGCGACGCCGCGUGGGGGAAUGAAGGUCUUCGGAUUGUAAACCCCUGUCAUGUGGGAGCAAAUUAAAAAGGUAGUACCACAAGAGGAAGAGACGGCUAACUCUGUGCCAGCAGCCGCGGUAAUACAGAGGUCUCAAGCGUUGUUCGGAAUCACUGGGCGCAAAGCGUGCGUAGGCUGUUUCGUAAGUCGUGUGUGAAAGGCGCGAGCUCAACCCGCGGACGGCACAUGAUACUGCGAGACUAGAGUAAUGGG